AAUCUUUUGCUAUGGACGAAAGUCUGACGUAGUGAUGCCGCGUGAGUGAUGAAGGUCUUCGGAUCGUUAAACUCUGUUGUUAGGGAAGAACAAGUAUCGGAGUAGUAUGCCGGUACCUUGACGGUACCUAACCAGAAAGCCCCGGCUAACUACUUUCCAGCAGCCGCGGUAAUACGUAGGGGGCAAGCGUUGUCCGGAAUUAUUGGGCGUAAAGGGCACGCAGGAGGUUAUUUAAGUCUGAUGUGAAAUCUUGUGGCUAAACCAAAAGCGGUCAUUGGAAACUGGAUAACUUGAGUAAAGAAGAGGAGAGUGGAAUUCCACGUGUAGCGGUGAAAUGCGUAGAGAUGUGGAGGAACACCAGUGGCGAAGGCGGCUCUCUGGUCUGUAACUGACGCUGAGGUGCGAAAGCGUGGGUAGCGAACA
rnacentral:rRNA from 1 species